rnacentral:rRNA from 1 species
AUUGAACGCUAGCGGGAGGCCUUACACAUGCAAGUCGAACGGAGCGGCGGACGGGUGAGUAAUGUAUCGGACCGUGCCCAGUCGCGGGGGAUAACUACUCGAAACAGUGGCUCAUACCGCAUACUAUCUGAUCGGCCGAUAUCGGAUUAGCUAGUUGGUGGGGUAACGGCUCACCAAGGCCACGAUCCUUAGCUGGUGUGCGAGGACGACCAGCCACACUGGGACUGAGACACGGCCCAGACUCCUACGGGAGGCAGCAGUGGGGAAUAUUGGACAAUGGGGGCAACCCUGAUGCAGCCAUCCCGCGUGUAUGAUGAAGGCCUUCGGGUUGUAAAGUACUUUUGGCAGGGAAGCGGUAUCUGCAGAAGAAGCACCGGCUAACUACGUGCCAGCCGCCGCGGUAAUAC